UUAGGAUGUCGUGAUGCCACUGGAGACACCACAGCAAUCCUGUAAACAGAGGUAGCUUUUACAUAAUGCAGUGUAAAGAGAACAGCAGGGUUUGUAGUCUAUCCUGUUCUUCUCUUUCAAUUAUUAUUUUUAUAAUGCAGCUUAUUGUUAGUCUGUCCCAUCCUCUGGUUGAAGAUGGACUGUGAAAGCAUCAUAGUUGGUGUUGCUAUGCAUUUUUUUCUGUGCAGGAAAGGAAAUUGAUAAUCAGCAGUAAACGCACAGUAUAAUAUACGGAGUUAAAUACAUGAGUAUCAGAUUUGUCUGUUUUCUCUGGUUAGAAAACUCGGUUUUCUCAUUGCACAGGAAAUGCUAGAACUGAACAGAUCGCCUUUACAGUGCCUGUCAUUGUGCAUAGCAGGAUCUGAUCCGCUUUUGCAGCUGAAGGUGAUAGACUGGGAGCUUGGUUGGGAGCAGGAGUCCGGGUGUUGCACAGCACACACAGCCAAUGAGAACAUGCAUUUCAGGACGUGCUUCUGCAGAUGGCCUAUUGCGAUGGACGGGGUGGAACAGCGGCCACCCAAAUUCACCCAGCAAAUGACAUUUUGCUGCAAAAGCGUGGCGGAGCCAAUCACAUACUGCACCACACAGCCAAUGGACGCCGGUCUCUUACCCAGCCACUGGCAGGGGGCUCUGUGACUGUAGGACCUUGGUACAGCUCUGCAAACUGCAUUCCUGCAGAGGCAGCCCUGUCAGAGUUUGUUUCUCAGCGCAGUAGUCAUCCUUGCUGUGAUUCAUUGCCCAGUAAUAGCAAUGCCAUUGUAAAUUAUCAGUGUAAAGCUGGGGAGUGACGUGCCCUGCCUGCCACGUGAUCUGCAGCUGGUAGGGAGAGUGCCUAAGUAAUUUGGGUCUUGUUUCCCAUUUAGCACUGCCACGGCUGCCUACCCAGCAGACCUGCUUACAAGAGCCAGAGGGAUGGUGGUAGUUACGGGGCAGAACAAAGUGAGUGGAAACCCGGAUGAUGCCAUGUCGAGCUCAGAUGCAGAGGAUGAUUUCCAAGAGCCAGCCACUCCUACUGCAACCCAGGCAGGACAAGCACUACCUCUGCUGCCUCAGCAGUUUCCAGAAGUUGUUCCACUAAACGUAGGAGGCAUGUAUUUUACAACAAGACUGUCAACACUGAGACGUUAUGAGGACACAAUGUUGGCGGCUAUGUUCAGUGGAAGACACUAUAUUCCAACAGAUGCUGAAGGCAGAUACUUUAUUGACAGAGAUGGAACCUACUUUGGAGACAUACUUAACUUUCUACGAUCUGGUGACCUGCCACCAAGAGAACGAGUGAGGUCAGUUUACAAGGAAGCUCAGUAUUAUUCCAUAGGACCAUUGCUAGACAAUCUAGAGGAUAUCCAGCCUCUUAAAGGAGAAAAAGUUAGACAAGCUUUCCUGGGCCUAAUGCCAUAUUACAAAGAUCAUUUGGAACGGAUAAUUGAAAUAGCAAAGCUUAGAGCUAUGCAAAGAAAAGCAAGAUUUGCAAAAUUGAAGGUCUGUGUCUUCAAAGAAGAGAUGCCCAUCACUCCCUAUGAAUGCCCACAUUUCAAUUCUUUACGUUUUGAAAGGAGUGAAAGUGAGACAAAGCUAUUUGAACAUCAUUGCGAAGUAGAUGUAUCUUUUGGCCCCUGGGAGGCUGUGGCUGAUGUAUAUGAUCUUCUGCACUGUAUUGUGACAGACCUGUCUGAUAGAGGGAUAACUGUGGAUCAUCAGUGUAUUGGUGUGUGUGAUAAACACCUGAUAAAUCACUAUUACUGCAAGCGUCCUAUCUAUGAAUUCAAGAUUACUUGGUGGUGAGUUAUUUUGUCCAGAACGGUGCGGGGGAUAAAAGGACUUCUAGAUGACAAUUGCUUUUAAUAUUUUUGCAACGUGUCUCUGGAAAUGCAUUGCUGCUAACAUAUAUUGGAAUCAGUCUGCUGAAAUGUUGGCUAACGCUUAGCUACUCAGCGAAAGGGAACCUGUUGCAGAGGUUGAAAAACCUCUGAAAUCUUGAAAAACCAGCCUGAAACAAGACUGUUGGCUCAGGUACCUUAACGAGGCACAAAACAAAAUCACCUCAUGGAAAUUAUGGAGAGGAGCGUCUAACAUCUUUUAAAAGGUGCCACCUACUAUGUGGCUUUAGUAUCAUAGUCUGCAAAACGGAUAUUGCAGAUCUCACCUGCAUUAUUAUAAAGCCGGGGUGCUGAUAAUGCUGACAUAACGUGGUUGACUUUUACCCACUUAGAAAUGUUUUAGUCACUACUUAAACUUGCCACUUUAUAAAAUUGAGUAACACCCAGCACAGAGAUUCUGGAAAUGUACUUUUGAUGUAAUAGAUCAUUAAAAAAAAAAAAAAAAAGGAGUAUUCCCUAUAUAUUAUUAAUUCUUGUCACAAUUAAGCUAUAUUUCUUUUUUAAUUAAGAAUCUGCAUUGUGAAUUAUAAUACUAUAUUUCAAUUAUUUCCAUUGUUAUAAAAAGGAAUAGCAGAUUUGGAAUAUAUUCCUUAUGCUUUUAGGAAUAAUAACUGUUCAUGGAAGACUUGUGCCUGUUUUUAGCCUUAGAAAUUCUAAAUGUUUACAGUACCUACAAAAAAAGAAGCUCUAUAGAAUCAGGUCAUUUACAAAGGCUUUUGGUAAAUGAGAAAACCCUAUAUGUAUGUUCCUAUUAGCAGAAGUAAGAGGAAUAUUUAAUGUAUAUUAUUUUAUUACUGACUGUUUUUACAUUCUGUAAUAUUAAACUUUGUUCUAGAGUUAGAGUGAAAUGAUGAUACUAGACAAGUGCUUCCUUAACCUCACCUUCUUCAAUUAAGUCUCAUUUUUAAGAUUCUUGUUGACCCUUCCUGGUGUAAUAUCAGGAAAAAAAAAUUAAACCUUCAUAUUAAAAUAUUUCUCCAAUUAUAAACCAGUAUAUCUGGGUAGUAAAUUUCUUUGCACACUGAAAGAGGCAGCCAUUGCAGAAUCGUAUUCUUCUCAGAAGGUAAUUGUUGCGCUUCUGACAUUAGUAACCACAUCCCGAACUUGAAUUAAUCUAUGUCCAAAACGGAAAGAUAGAUUUAAACAUCUAAAUAUAUUACUGUUUUGUGAGGUACAGAAAACUCAAGUAUUUUUCUAAAAGACCCUGCCUGAAGCGGCCUCAAAAUAAUCUUAAGGAGAGAGGGAAAGUAAAUGUUUGUGUAUUGCAUUCCACUAAUUAGUUAAGCCGAGAGUAUUGCUUAAUUAAACUUUUGACCAAAACACUUGAGAAAUGUGUUAAUUACAAUGAUCAAAAUUCUUAUUUACCUGAGGUAAUCUUUAGAAUAAUUCUAAGAAAUUUAUGAUCAAAUUGUCUUGCAAAAAAGAGACAAAUUGUUUGCAUUGUCACACUUUUAUAUAUUUAAUUUAGGAAUUUUUAGUAAAUUGUCUCUCUGAGGUGGGGGCCUAUAGCUCUAAUGAUCUGUUUUCAAAUGUUUACUUGCAGAGGAUUAUUGUCAAGUGCUGAGUUUCAAGUCCAGAGCUUAAAUUUUGAAAUGGAGGGAAGGAGGAAAUUAUGUGCAUUUGGAUCUUAUUUUGAGUUUGUUUAAAUUGUUUUCCUAAACAUUGGCCUUUGUGUUACAAGUUAUUGUACUUGUGUUUGACAACCCAAAAUUAAAAGUCAAACUGAGACUAGUAAAGUUUCCCUAAAAUGAGAGGAAGCUUGCAUGGUUUCUUUGCUACUCUGCUGGCUUCCCCCCCCCCCCCCCCAGGGAAUCUUAAAACUGCAAACCACAAUUUCUAAUGUAAUGGCGUAAGAUCUUAAAGCUGAGGCUGACAAAGUUUUGGCUGCUUGUACACUUCAGACAUUUAAGUUCAGGAUUUUCAGCAUCAGUUUAUUUAGCAACUACAGUGAGAAUUGCAGUUUUACUGUGUUAUUUGGUGGGUUUUGCCACUUCCCAUAUAUGUGUUUACAUGGGACAUAACUCUGGUUUGAAUUUCAGCACUACUUGUGGAAAUGGACACAGUCUGAUUUAAUGGUAUGUUUUUUGGUUUGGCUUUAAGAAUUUUUCCACUGUUAUUCUAGAGAAGCUAUGAUGACAAAAUUCGUGUUUUGAUCAUGUUUGCCAUUUCUUAAUAUGCACACACUGAUAUUUUAUAACUUUUUCCUGUUUAUUGCUUAAAUAAGUAAGGAAGACUACCUAACCAAAAAGAUAAAAUCUUGGUCUGUAUCAGUUGCAUCUUAAUUGAAGCUUUCAUCCUUCAGAUCCUCCAGAAGACAUCAAACAUUAAGUGCAAUAUUGAAAAAGAAAACACGGAUUUGAGCCAACAUGCUUUCAUUAAACACGUACAUUCUGUCUUGUGAUUUGUGCAAGUUAACAAUAUUGUUAUUGACUACACUUGUUCUAAACAGUCUUUGUUUACAAUGAUUUAGAUGAUAUUGCCUAAUAUGUAUUCAUUUUUUGACAGAAACAGAAGAGUUGUGCAGGCGGAUGUCAGGGGAGUAUAAUCUAAUAACUGGUUUAUAUAACAUUAUUGACUUAAUCUUUUCUUGGCGUAUAGCGUAAUUUUUGAAAUUCUGCAUUUGCAACAAAAAUGUGAGUAGCUGAUCUACUAAAUCCAUGUUUAAGAUGAUUGAUGUUUUUGUAUAUCAUGAAUGCUUUAUAAUUGUCUAAUUAAACUAAAUGCCUAUGUAAUAUGCUUUUUUUUAUUUAGGACUUUUCUUUUUAUCUGGCUAGGGCAGAGGUUUGCUAGAAUAUAUUUACCUAUUUCUCUGUGCUUCUCCUACUUAGUUUUUUUGCCACUUUAUCAUCUACAUAACUACUUUUCCACCCCCACACUCCCAAAUACCCUGUGUUUCCAAGCUGACACCGUAGACAAAUUGGCUGUGCAGUGAGCGGUCUCAUGUCAUCAAUAUAAUGUUGCUAUGAAUAUCAUGUUUACAGAUCAUUAAAAGGACAAUGCAUGUCAGUCCAUUUAGCUCACUCAAUUUGAAGGAAAGACAUUUUUUUAUUUCGUGUUCUGAGACAGGAUACAUGCCAUUUUUUGGUUUUUUUUCCCCUAAAUAAGAAGUCUCAAAUAUUUUCAAAGCACAGGUUGCAUAUCUGGAUUGCAGUGAUUACUCUGUUUUUUAUGAAUACUGGGGGUAAUGGUGGGACAGUUGAGGGAUAAUUAUUUAAAAUUAGAAUUUUUAGCUACUUUUUUUAGGUUGCUGUGUGUCUGAACAAAAACAUAACAAGACUCAUCUUUUUAACAUCCCUUCUAUAGGUGCAUUGUCUAGUGGUUUUUAACAGGGAGCAAAGGCAGGUCUUACUAUCAGGUUUCACAUUACGUGACUUGGCCAAUUUCACAACACAUUAAAUGUUUCUGCAUCUGUUUUACACUUGUAAAAUAGGAAGGAUACCUACUCUUCUUUAUAAAAUACUCAAAAAUUACAUGAAAAGAUACUUAUGUGCAGCAUCCACUUAAUGACUGUUGAUUUCAAGAGUUUAAAACAAAACAUUAACAUAACUUUUCAACUUGGUGCAGGCUUCUUAACUUGAAUACUACAGUACUCUACGUGGUAAUCUGAAAUACUCAUUGCUGAACUUCCAUCCUCCUUGGAGGAAAGUGAAGGUGCUGGCAUCUUUGAUCUGGGAAGCCUUUGAGCCUUUGGCAGAUUCUCUUUCAUCCUCAUGAUGCAUGUUUUCUUCUGAGACUGCUGGAUUUUUUUUUUUUUUUUAAAGCUGAUUUUUAACCAAAACCUAUAAUGAGGGAUCACUUUCUGCAUUUAUGAGGGUGUGGGUUCUUUGGUUUGUUUUGGGGGUUUCCAGGUCUUAGUUAUCCAAAUAGCAAAAGGAGUAAGUUAUUGCAGCAGAAAGUUCUGCCUACCCCCCUUUUGAUGGAAUUUUUUUAAGUUUUAGGAAGUCUGCCUGGGAGACACUUCAUGAUGUAAUAUAUGCAAAUACCUGAAUUUGUUAAUGUGGAUAUUUUUGAGGUUUUGUUCUUGUUGUUAAGUCAUGUAAUACUCUUUCCUGAAACUAGCAUGAGAGUUAAGGGUUGAGUUAAACAUUGGUUUUCUGAUAAGCAUGCUUAUGCCUUAGAUAUCGCCUGCCCCCAUUUUGUAAAAUCACUCAUCUUAGAGGUGUUCAGUGUAUGAAAAAGUAAAGGCUAUUAUAGUUACAGGAAAAUCAAGAAUCUUCCUUGAUUCUCAACAAUGAGUCCAUUAAGAGAAUCAGUACUUGCUAAUCCAACUGCAGUCUCCAUUCUUUUGCUCCGCUUAGAUGCCUAUGGCUUCAACAGUGAAACAAAGUAGUCACAGGGUUGGGUCUGGCUAACACAAGUCCUUGAAGGCAAAAGUCAAAGACUACUGUCAUAUGAGAGAUGUACUGAUUUGCAUAAGCACAUCAUCUGGCCUUCACUGAAGUGAUUGUUAAAAUUCCAGCAAACUCUGAAGGAUGUUGAUAUUUUAAACUGUUCUAAACGAUAGCGUUGUUAAACCCUAAUCUGUUUUGAGCCAGAUGGUUUCAAUGUAUGUAUUGUGAAAGCAGAGAGGUUGGCCAUUUCUUUUAUUUAUGGUUCUCUGUAUAUCUGUGUUUUCCUAGUGAAAUCUGAAGCUGAGUGAGGUUGCUGAUCACUGCCCCCCAGAACUGAAUACAGCGUGUUUCAAAUGUAUCCUGUGCAUUGAGCAUGUGCUUUUUUUUGCAAAUAUGAAAGUGGGAGGGAAUUAGUUCUGCGGUGUAUUUCCCCAGGGACAGUCCUCGCUAGCUCUGAAGGAAGACUUUGGUGAGAACUUGAUCCACACUCCCCCACAUCUCCAUUUGUUAGAUGAAGUGUAAGAGGCAUAAGGAGAUGAGGUGUCUAGCCUGAAAAGUCACAGUGAGAUGAUGACUCUGACUGGAUUCCGCCUUGGUCCUUUCCCCUUUUCUCUAACCUUUAAGAUGUAUAACUCUAUGUGCAGGAAAAGUUUUACUUCUCUCUGCUGCACCCUCAAAUUUGUUGGCAAGGUGGAUACUUAGUCUGGUUUAGACUUAAGGGAUUAUUUUAAUAUUACAAUAUGGUGACUGACAGUUGCUAAAGAAUCAGUGAAAAUCUUAGUACUGGCAAAAAUACCUGAAUAAAUGAAUCAAAAAACCUUAUUUGUAGCAUAAUCACUUUAAUUUCACUCUUCUGCUUUAUUUUUCUCUAGAGACUGUUAAGAAGUGUAAACUCUUACUUCUUUUAAGGGCUUAUAUCUGUUUCAUAGUAAUUUGUAUUCAGGCUAAGUACCUGUAUUUUGGGGUUUGAGGCCUUGUUUAUUGCUUGCUAUGAGCUGAAGGAUAAGUGCAUGAUCUCUCAUCUGUUUUGCUUUUUUUCUUAAAAAAUAGUUACUGAUAGAAUUAAAGGUCAUGAUUUUCUAGCUUCAUCUGGCAUUUGCAACCCCUGGGAACCUUGCCUCCCAACUUCAUUUUCACUGCUCAUUCUUGUUUAUAGAUGACCUGGGACAGGUGGCAUGAUGAGGAAGAUGAUGGAAGUGCCAACAGGGAAAGUCUCAUGUCAGAACUGAUUGUUUGCAUUGCAGAGUGUUCUUUCCAUUUUAUUUCAACUCUUUUGCUGUAUGAGGCAGAGGAACAUUCAUCACCAUUCAUGUGAGGUCAGGCAGAGGAUCCAGUCUGUCUGGAAGCCCAGCUAACCUCACCUGUGUUCAUCCAUUUUCUGUGUUGUUCAGGCACAGCAGAGAGGACCCGGGAUAGUACUGAGUUUUGUGCUAUGGAAACAUAAUUUAACAAAGAAAAAAAACCUCCAGUCUUUCAUUAUCUUCCUGCAAAUAAGCUAGAUUUCAGAGGGUAAUUACGUUCUGCUGCUGUCUUCUGUGUAUAGUCCUCUAACUGGAAAUUGCUUUCCGGAACAGCAGUUCUUACUCGUUUUACUUACACAAGCUUAGUAUAAGUUUACCUACACUUUCACUGUGACUUUUAUAAAUGGAUUUUGUUUUGCUGAAUUAUGAAUUGUAUGUGUCUAUGCAUUGUAACCCGUAAUGCCUUUGAAAAUCCAGCCUGGAUGGUAACAAUCAGGGUUUGGAAUUAUCUCCAAAUGUGUUUUAUUUUAAGUAAGUUGAUGUGUGAUGUUUAAUACUGUGGGUACUGUAGUGUGUUAUUUCUUACUACGUUUUGCUUUUCACUUCAGGUAAUGUAUAGUCUGUUUUUUAUUUAAAAUACAUAAAAGACAAAUGUGGAUAUGAAGUUUGUGUUGUGCAAUAAAAGUAUAUUACACUGAAA